rnacentral:rRNA from 1 species
AUUGAACGCUGGCGGCAUGCCUUACACAUGCAAGUCGAACGGUAACAGGUCUUCGGAUGCUGACGAGUGGCGAACGGGUGAGUAAUACAUCGGAACGUGCCCGAGAGUGGGGGAUAACGAGGCGAAAGCUUUGCUAAUACCGCAUACGAUCUCAGGAUGAAAGCAGGGGACCGCAAGGCCUUGCGCUCACGGAGCGGCCGAUGGCAGAUUAGGUAGUUGGUGGGAAAAAAGCUUACCAAGCCGACGAUCUGUAGCUGGUCUGCGAGGACGACCAGGCAGGAGGGGACUGGGAAACGCACCAGACUCCUACGGGAGGCAGCAGUGGGGAAUUUUGGACAAUGGGCGCAAGCCUGAUCCAGCCAUGCCGCGUGCAGGAUGAAGGCCUUCGGGUUGUAAACUGCUUUUGUACGGAACGAAAAGACUCUGGUUAAUACCUGGGGUCCAUGACGGUACCGUAAGAAUAAGCACCGGCUAACUACGUGCCAGCCGCCGCCGUAACAC